rnacentral:rRNA from 1 species
UACGUAGGGUGCAAGCGUUGUCCGGAAUUAUUGGGCGUAAAGAGCUCGUAGGCGGUCUGUCACGUCGGCUGUGAAAACCCGGGGCUCAACCCCGGGCCUGCAGUCGAUACGGGCAGACUAGAGUGCGGUAGGGGAGACUGGAAUUCCUGGUGUAGCGGUGAAAUGCGCAGAUAUCAGGAGGAACACCGGUGGCGAAGGCGGGUCUCUGGGCCGGAACUGACGCUGAGGAGCGAAAGCGUGGGGAGCGAACAGG